rnacentral:rRNA from 1 species
GAUGAACGCUAGCGGCAGGCUUAACACAUGCAAGUCGAGGGGUAACAUAGAAAAGCUUGCUUUUCUGAUGACGACCGGCGCACGGGUGCGUAACGCGUAUACAACCUACCUUUUAGCGGGGAAUAGACCCAGGGAAACUUGGAUUAAUGCCCCAUAGUAUAUAGACUUCUCCUGAAGUUUAUAUUAAACAUUUAUGGCUAUUAGAUGGGUAUGCGUCCUAUUAGUUAGUUGGUAAGGUAACGGCUUACCAAGGCAGCGAUAGGUAGGGGUCCUGAGAGGGAGAUCCCCACACUGGUACUGAGACACGAACCAGACUCCUACGGGAGGCAGCAGUGAGGAAUAUUGGACAAUGGGCGAGAGCCUGAUCCAGCCAUGCCGCGUGCAGGAAGACUGCCCUAUGGGUUGUAAACUGCUUUUACAGAGGAAGAACCACCCCCACGUGUGGGGGUUUGACGGUACUCUGCGAAUAAGGAUCGGCUAACUCCGUG